GUGAUAAAGGAUAUCUGUUCCUAACCAUGUUGUAAAGUCAUGUAAACUAACUUAAAGUUUAAAGUUUGCAGCCAUUUUUAAGGAGAAGUGUUGCAUGAGGCAGUAUUAGCUAACCUUCACCUGUCAUACUAGUAACCUUUCAUUUCACUUUUAUCAUCCGAUUUUAAGUUUUGUCACACUAACAUGUUUCAGGUCAUCAAAGAACAUCAGACAACAAUGACCUGACUAAAUACACAAAACUGUUCUCAGAUUAUUAUGUAAUUUAAGUAACUAGGUGUGUCCUGACAACUUUUCCACUUCCGAUACAAUAUCAAUACUGCAGCUUUGAGUGUCGGCCAAUACCGAUAUUGACCCGAUACGAUAUCAGCAUCUGACCAUGAGUCAGAGUCAUACAUACUUUUAUCAGUGAUUUUGUAGUCUGGAAUGCUUUGAUCAAGUGAAAUAAUUACUCAGAGAACAAUAGUUAAUAGUAGGUAUGAAAACGAUGAAGUGCUUCUAACUGAGAUUUUAAUGCAGCCUGAAAUAAUUAAAUACUCGUUGUUUGGCUGAUAUCGGACCAAUUUCCGAUAACGGAUCGGGACAAUCAUUAGUAAAUUAAUGUUUUGCAUGUCUGUUAAUUUUCUAGGAUGUCAGUGCUAUCCGAUUAAAUCCCAGCUCUGAACAUUUUGGACUGGGCUGCAAGAUCAAGGUAUAUUCUCAAAUUAUCCAGUAGCUGCAGAAGGCAGAACAUUAAUUCAGAACAAACUUCUGUUCUGGAAAUGUAACAACUAUCUCAUGUUGUGAGUCCAGAUUCUCAUGAUAUUUCUGACAACUUCACACUCCCAAUUAAUAAAGAAAGCAGGUUGAUUUUAGUGUAAUGAAAGUCUUCUCUGAACCAAUAUCCCAGAGGUUGUGGUGAAAAGCUUUAGCUGCAGUUGCAGCUUGUUGGCCACUAGGCGUCUCCAGUUGUGCAAAGGAGAUCAAUAAAGGCUCUCUGGGAAGGAAUGAGAAGAGUCAGAGGACAUGUGAGCAGCAGAGGUUAUAGCUGAAGCGGUCGGAUCUCAUUUUGUAUCUCUAUAAUGAAUGCAGCAAAGAAUUUGGUCUUCUUCACAGUAAUAAUCUGUGCAGGUAAGAACGUGUAACAGCUAAAAUAGUCUGUGAUUCUUCAAAGUAAUCAUCUUUUUUUUAUUUUGCAGGCGUUUCCAUUGGUCUUAGAAUUGAUCAACCUCCGUCUUUAUUGCUUGAAGUUGGGCAACAGGCUGUGAACUUAAAAUGUGAACAAGACGACGAACAAUACCUGAACAUGUACUGGUACAGACAAAUAAGCAGCAGCAGCAGCAGCAUGGAAUUAGUGGCAUAUUCCGUUGGUAAAGAUAUUUCAACUAUUGAAGCUCCGUUCCAGGACACCAAAUACUCCAUGUCCCGUCCGUCGACGCUGAGCACCACGCUGCAGAUCAACAAGGCCGAGCCUGGAGACUCGGCUGUGUAUUACUGUGCUUCCAGUAAGGCACAGAGCUUCAAAAAGCAUCGAGGGCAAUACAAAAACCUCAGCAGAACAUUUCUAUUAAUGUGGAUUCAAAAUAUGAAAGAAAAAAAAAACAUGCUCCUUUAUGCACACUGUCAUGUUUCUGCAGCACCACAAAGCAGAUCAGAUAAGACAGCAGGCGUCAACUCCAACAUUCAGUAAUCUUAGACGCCUCACGUCUUUGUUUCAUUUUUCAUUUGCUUUGAUUCUUUCCUCAGUUUGAUAGGGGAUUAAGAUCAACAGAUUAUGUCACAGUGCCCUCUUCUGGCUUUAUGUAUAAUUACAGUCAAGGCAAGCGACUCGUUUUGGUUCUUCUCAAGACUAGAAUGACUUAUUGAAACAACUUCUCAUUCAAUUCAAUUCAAAAAUGCUUUUUUGAUCCCAAAGAGGAAUUAAAUGUUGCUGUAACUCAUUAAUUCAAGGUUCUUCAAAGAGUUAUAGUAGAUUGUGAUGGCAGUCCUGUAGCAGUCUGUGUUACAGGGAAUCUGAAGACGCCUCGAACAGAAGACACAGUUUUUCUACAACAGCGUCAUGAAGAGGACGGUCAGGGAUCUCCAUAAUUUCCGUGGUUUUAUGAAGACUCUUCCUUUGCAUCUUCAUCUCCAGAGGUUCCACAGUCGUCCCCAGAACAGAACCAGCCGUCUUCAUCGGCCUGUUGAGCCUUUUCAGGUCCCUGGUUCUGAUGCUGCUGCCCCAACAGAUGAUGAUGGAAGAGAAGACGGUAUCAACAACAGACUUAUAGAUCUGCAGCUUCACUGUUGCAUCUCCAGUCCAGUCUGUUGUCCAGAUGAACACCAAGAUGAGAUGAUUGUUCCCACAAAGUGAUCCACCAGCUCUCAGUACUCAGCCUCUUGUCCAUCUCUGAUUCACCCGACAGCUGCAGAGUCACAUGAGUGUUUCUGUGAAAGACAGAAGUUGGAUUUGUGCUGGAGGUCAGAAGUGAAGUACAGGAUGAAAAAGAAUGGCGAGAGAACGGAGCCCUGUGGAGCUCCUGUGCUGGUGACCACCUGGUUAAACACACAGCCUCUACCCUUACAAUGCCUCCAAAUGUAUUCAAAUGGUUUAUGGACGAAAUACCAGUAUGAAGGUUAUUCUUAUGAAAUUAUAAUUUAUCAACGUUGGUUGAUAAAUUAUAAUUUUGUCAGCUCCCUGACUGUCGUCAGUCAUGAGCAUGUUUCUGUGAAAAACAACAACUUUCUGUCUGAAUGUUUCUUCAUUGAUGGACUGCCUCACUCUAUCAAGUUAUAGAAAUGUUCUGUAUCAAUAAAAAAUCUGAUUUUUUUUUUUGUCAAA